rnacentral:rRNA from 1 species
UUCCGGUUGAUCCUGCCGGAGGUUACUGCUAUCGGUAUUCGACUAAGCCAUGCGAGUUAAAUGUUCUUCGUGAACAUAGCGAACUGCUCAGUAACACGUGGAUAACCUGCCCUUAGGUUUGGCAUAACUCCGGGAAACUGGAGAUAAUUCCGAAUAAACCAUUCCUGCUGGAAUGCUUUUUGGUUCAAAGACUUCGGUUGCCUAAGGAUGGAUCUGCGGUCUAUCAGGUAGUAGUGGGUGUAAUGUACCUACUAGCCUACGACGGAUAUGGGUUGUGAGAGCAAGAGCCCAGAGAUGGAUUCUGAGACAUGAAUCCAGGCCCUACGGGGCGCAGCAGGCGCGAAAACUUUACAAUGCGGGAAACCGCGAUAAGGGGAUACCGAGUGCCAGCAUAUUAUGUUGGCUGUCCACAUGUGUAAACGGCAUGUGUUAGCAAGGGCCGGGCAAGACCGGUGCCAGCCGCCGCGGUAACACCGGCGGCCCGAGUGGUAAUCACUUUUAUUGGGUCUAAAGGGUCCGUAGCCGGUUUGAUCAGUUCUUCGGGAAAUCUGACAGCUCAACUGUUAGGCUUCCGGGGAAUACUGUCAGACUUGGGACCGGGAGAGGUAAGAGGUACUACAGGGGUAGGAGUGAAAUCUUGUAAUCCCUGUGGGACCACCAGUGGCGAAGGCGUCUUACCAGAACGGGUCCGACGGUGAGGGACGAAAGCUGGGGGCACGAACCGGAUUAGAUACCCGGGUAGUCCCAGCCGUAAACGAUGUUCGCUAGGUGUCAGGGACGGUGCGACCGUUUCUGGUGCCGUAGGGAAGCCGUGAAGCGAACCACCUGGGAAGUACGGCCGCAAGGCUGAAACUUAAAGGAAUUGGCGGGGGAGCACUACAACGGGCGGAGCCUGCGGUUUAAUUGGAUUCAACGCCGGG